rnacentral:rRNA from 1 species
UACGUAGGCAGCAAGCGUUGUUCGGAAUUACUGGGCGUAAAGAGUGUGUAGGUGGUGUCGUAAGUUUGGUGUGAAAUCUCCCGGCUUAACUGGGAGGGUGCGCCGAAGACUGCGAUGCUGGAGUAUGGGAGAGGAAAGCGGAAUUCCUGGUGUAGCGGUGAAAUGCGUAGAUAUCAGGAGGAACACCUGCGGUGUAGACGGCUUUCUGAACCAUUACUGACACUGAGACACGAAAGCGUGGGUAGCAAACAGG